GAUGAACGCUGGCGGCGUGCCUAAUACAUGCAAGUCGAGCGAACGGACGAGAAGCUUGCUUCUCUGAUGUUAGCGGCGGACGGGUGAGUAACACGUGGAUAACCUACCUAUAAGACUGGGAUAACUUCGGGAAACCGGAGCUAAUACCGGAUGAUAUUUUGAACCGCAAGGUUCAAAAGUGAAAGACGGUCUUGCUGUCACUUAUAGAUGGAUCCGCGCUGCAUUAGCUAGUUGGUAAGGUAACGGCUUACCAAGGCAACGAUGCAUAGCCGACCUGAGAGGGUGAUCGGCCACACUGGAACUGAGACACGGUCCAGACUCCUACGGGAGGCAGCAGUAGGGAAUCUUCCGCAAUGGGCGAAAGCCUGACGGAGCAACGCCGCGUGAGUGAUGAAGGUCUUCGGAUCGUAAAACUCUGUUAUUAGGGAAGAACAUAUGUGUAAGUAACUGUGCACAUCUUGACGGUACCUAAUCAGAAAGCCACGGCUAACUACGU
rnacentral:rRNA from 1 species